rnacentral:rRNA from 1 species
AUUGAACGCUGGCGGCGUGCUUAACACAUGCAAGUCGAGCGGUAACAGGCGUAGCAAUACGUGCUGACGAGCGGCGAACGGGUGCGUAAUACAUGGGAAUCUGCCCUUUGGUGGGGAAUAACCCGGCGAAAGCCGGGCUAAUGCCGCAUGAGAUCUUCGGAUGAAAGCGGGGGAUCGUAAGACCUCGCGCCGAUGGAUGAGCCCAUGUCGGAUUAGCUAGUUGGUGAGGUAACGGCUCACCAAGGCGACGAUCCGUAGCUGGUCUGGGAGGACGGCCAGCCACACUGGGACUGGGACACGGCCCAGACUCCUACGGGAGGCAGCAGUGGGGAAUAUUGGACAAUGGGCGAAAGCCUGAUCCAGCGACGCCGCGUGUGUGAAGAAGGCCUGCGGGUUGUAAAGCACUUUCGAUGGGAACGAAAUGUGCCGGGCUAAUACCCCGGCAAGCUGACGUUACUCAAUGAAGAAGCACCGGCUAACUCUGUGCCAGCCGCCGCUGUAACAC